CCUACGGGAGGCAGCAGUGAGGAAUAUUGGUCAAUGGGCGGGAGCCUGAACCAGCCAAGCCGCGUGAGGGAAGAAGGUACAGCGUAUCGUAAACCUCUUUUGUCAGGGAACAAAGGCGGGGACUAGUCCCCGGAUGAGGGUACCUGAAGAAAAAGCAUCGGCUAACUCCGUGCCAGCAGCCGCGGUAAUACGGAGGAUGCGAGCGUUAUCCGGAUUUAUUGGGUUUAAAGGGUGCGCAGGCGGCCUGUUAAGUCAGCGGUAAAAGCCCGGGGCUCAACCCCGGCGAGCCGUGGAAACUGGCGGGCUUGAGUUGGAGGGAAGUACGCGGAAUGCGCGGUGUAACGGUGAAAUGCUUAGAUAUCGCGCAGAACCCCGAUUGCGAAGGCAGCGUACCGGCUCCACACUGACGCUGAGGCACGAAAGCGUGGGUAUCGAACAGGAUUAGAUACCCUGGUAGUC
rnacentral:rRNA from 1 species